CUUUGGAACUGGGAAGGUUCGGUUGGAGGUUGAAGUGAAUGGGGAAAUUGCGAAUCGGGGGCUUUAAAAGGAUCCCGUGGCCAGGGGCAGGGCUAAGGCCCAGCAUUUCCCAGGGAUUGGAAUUUAGUGGGGAGCACAUUGAUCAAAGGCUGUUUCAUCCCACAUGGGCACGAAACAUACCACAUUUUACGGAGGAUGUAGCCCCAGAGAAGAGGGAGGUGGAGAAGCAUAAAUGAAAAGCACCUUUUCCUUCCUCUAGAAGAUGCACAGAGAAUUUCUGACCUUGUGACGUUUGGGAGUGAGGAGAUCCCAUACAGAGGCAUCCAGGUAUUUCCAGAGAUCCUGUGGCAGGUGAGGUCUGCCCUCGCUGGAGCCAACUCGUCUAUAAUGUCUUCCUAACAGCAGGAGUCGCCUGCGGGGAGGAGAGGAGAGGACAGACUAAGCUACGCGUAGAGCGGCAUCAGGAGCAAGUUACCGUUAGCAUGUGUAAACAAAACAACUCGACUCCUCUGUGUCAGAAUCAACAACAUCAAAGGUGUCUGUGGGGGGUCACUUUUAUUUUUAAAACAAUCCUGGAUUCUUGUUCGGCAAUUUUAGUGUCUUCCUUCUGGGUUUGUCCUAAGGCACGCAGGAGAGAAGGUAAUGUUCGAGAAAAAAGCUGGGUCGGCAAGUUUGGCUCCGGAGCCUAUGAACUAUGAAUCACCGCGGUGAAGAGGUUUUCUUUUUUCUUUCUUUUUUUUUUUUUUUCCUCACCCUCUUCUUUUCUCCCGGAGCGUGAACUUGUUAGAUAAGAUAGAUGAGGCUACAAGGAAAUAGAAACGCUGAAAAAGCCCAGCUCCUUUGGAGAGCAGCCUGUGGGGCUGGCAGGCGGCUGCCGCGCGCCCUCCCCCAGCUGAGGGGCACCGGGGUAGCUCCGGAGCUGUCCCAACUUGGGUCUCCUGGGCCCCCCGCGGGGCCAGACAUCACGCUCAGAUCGCUGCCUUGGCCAUCUUACCUUUUGGCCAUAGAAUAAACACCCCGAAAGACGAGAGAAAGGCCUCUGUUUGAGCUGAGUGUCUGCUCUCCCGCUCGAAACACAGAACAGGGCCCGCAGGUUUUCCUAGAGGAAGUCCCCAUCACAAAACAGUCGGACAGUGGGAGACGCUAGAGAAUUCUGGAAUUACACAUGAAACAUUAUUUUCCUAAUUAAUUAAAAAUAAUUCUCUUUUCCUAUUUAUAUGCAUACACACGCUACUGAUUACACGUCCCUAUUUACUUGAAAAAUUGCUUGGAGUAUCUUUAGUACACAAUGCUCAUUCUUUGUCCCCUUGAACAUUUACAGCUGAUAAUGUGGCUGGUUGGGAUCAAUUAGCACUGGAUUUUGCCCCAGGAUUGCUCCCCAGGGCGGACAAGUGGAGCCAGCUCAUCUCCAGCGACUUUUACUUCGCUCACGUGCAUAUCCACGCCAGGGCUGCAGAAGCAUUUCAAAAUCCGCAGCCUUGGUUUCACUUGAUUUUGUUGUUGUUAUUGAUAAAUAUUGGGUCAUACACAAGCCACUUGUCAGAGCCUUUGGCUCCAUCUCGCAGCUGCAGCUCCUAGCGGGACGUUGGAGUCUUGUCCUAGGAACUGGAAGGAUUUACUGGGAAAAGAAUUACACAUUCUCUGCUCCUUCAGUUUUGGAGAUGGUCCCUUAAGAUCAUAUCAUAUCGUCUGUCUGCUUGCUGUCACAUUUAUUUCUUGAUUGUUCUGAUAUGUGAACAAUGGGAAGGUGUGUGCAUCUUUUCCCCCUGUCUUUUUAAAACAAUUAUUGAAAUGGUUUAAAAGGGGGGGAGGGGAGAAAGUAUUGAUCCCAGUUCUUUCCGUAUAUUUGGAACCAAAAGAACAUAGGCAAAUGGAUAAUUGUUUUAAUUGUCGGGGUGGGGGGUGGGUUGGUAGGCAGGACCUUUGGGGUUUGUGUAAUUGGAGUAAUAAAUACAGUUUAUCUUUUAGCUCCGCCGUAUAUAUUCUUUCCCUUGAUACAUAUUGCACAUGAAAUGAACACAUGGUCUACUUGUCUUAGCAUGUUUGAAGCCCCAGACACCCAACAGUAUCAUUACAGGAAAAAGACAGAGCCCCCAAAGACUGCAGGCAGGAAGGUGACUGCCUUUGGGGCCAAUGGGGAAUUUAUCUUGACGUUGAACUUUUCUGGGAAGUGCACCCACUCGCUCAGACUCCCUUGCUGCGCAGAGUUCAGGUCUUCCCCAUGCUGAAGAGCAGGGAGGAGGUGUGGAAAAGAACAGCUGAUUUUUGACAUUUCAAAGGGACUCUUUCUAUUUAUCAGUGUUACCGAAGUGUACGUUACUGGAGAAACAACAAAACAAGCAUAGAGCUGCAAUUUUCAAGAAAAUAUAAAAAUAAAAAAGUAGCAGAUAAGAUGUAUAAUUCAAUCAAAUUACACAAAAUUGCUUGAAAAUCUAGAACAGUAGCGAUCCAUUAUGCCUCUGUUUUAUUAGUGACAAGUACAAUUACUCUAAAAUAAAGAACACUGGUGAAUAUAUAAUUGGCUGUAAUCAUGUUAGUGUUUGAAUAAAAAU